AUUGAACGCUGGCGGCAGGCCUAACACAUGCAAGUCGAGCGGAGCGGCGGACGGGUGAGUCAUGUCUAGGAAUCUGCCUGUUAGUGGGGGAUAACGUCCCGAAACGGGCGCUAAUACAGCAUACUAUCAGAUGAGCCUAGGUCGGAUUAGCUAUUUGGUUGGGUAAAGGCCGACCAAGGCGACGAUCCGUAACUGGUCUGAGAGGAUGAUCAGUCACACUGGAACUGAGACACGGUCCAGACUCCUACGGGAGGCAGCAGUGGGGAAUAUUGGACAAUGGGCGAAAGCCUGAUCCAGCCAUGCCGCGUGUGUGAAGAAGGUCUUCGGAUUGUAAAGCACUUUAAGUUGGGAGGCGUUACCAACAGAAUAAGCACCGGCUAACUUCGUGCCAGCAGCCGCGGUAAUAC
rnacentral:rRNA from 1 species